CCCCCCCCCCCCCGUCUUUGCUUUUGGAUGGGGGCUCAAGAUUCGCCUUUUAUCAGAUAAGAUGGAAACUCUGCCUUACCACCAUGGCUGCAAACCCGGAAGCUGCCUCGCCAUUACAUGGAGUAAGAGUUUCUCAUCGUCUGGUCAUUGGGAAAAUAUCAUCACAGCCCCCUAAUAUUCCAUUUACAUUACAUCCAUUUUGUAAGAGACAGUCAGAGAGAGAAAGAGAGAGAAAAAGAAAGGGUUAAUUAUGACAUUUCCCCUGAAUCCAUGCAUAAAAAUGGUGAAAUCAAUCAUCGGCUUCGCUUACGAUCAGAGCGCAAGCUCUCUGAGAGCAAAGCCUCAUACUUAAACUAACGAGUACAUUGCUAAUUCAGUUCAGUUUCUUAUAAACCCUAGAUAAGACCAGAGGAUAGGGGACUUUGAUGGGCCGGGUCGGGUCAGGCUGAUGCUCCAAUUAUCCGGUUCAACCAGCGAUGAAUCAGAAUUUGAUAGGCUAUCUAUAAAAUUAAAAAAAAAAAAAAAAAUAGACUGAACCAAACUUUUGAGAAUUUAUUUUCAGUGUGAUCAAUUGGUAUUUCCCACUUCUCCUCCUAAUCCUAUUACCUAUACAGUGUGUCCAAAAAUUUAUCCCUUUGAUUAAAACUAAACUAAUCAAUCAUCAAAUUAUAAUUAAGAUUUAACUAAAAUCAAAAAUAAUUUUUAAAAUGUUUUAAAAUAAAGUAAGGAAUGUUCAUCUAGAUGUAAAUAGUUAAAGCAUUAUUUUUCUUUUUAAAAUACAUCCCGAUGUUAAAAAAAAAUAUAUAGUGAUAAAACAAGAGAAUGGAUAUCUCUAAUUUUUAUCGGAUAAUUCCUAAUCUCUAUCCAUUCGAACCUACAACAUACAAGGGUCGGUAAUGAAAAUGUCCACCAAAUAAAGACAGACAUGAGUAUUAACAUCUCUGCACAACAUCCAGACCAUUGCAAUCCUCGACUGUAAUGAUAGAAUUGAGUAUUGAUCACUUCCAACGCCAAAUUUGCAUAACUUUCUUUAGUUGAUUAUAAUUAUAAUAAGGGUGUUGCUAAGUUAUAAUAAAUGUAACUUACAGCCCAUCUAAUAUGGCAGUGGAUUCAGCCAUUUGAUUAACCCAAGUCUCACAAUUGUGAGAUCUUGAGUUCGAGCCUCCACAACGUAUUGUAGGGGUUAAUUUCAUUCCUUAAUUUGAGUGAAGACAGUUAUCUUUAUUUUAAAAUGUGAAUAAAGCGAACGUCCUUAAAAUAUUAGAAAAUAUUAAAAUUUAGGUUGUUCUAUAUAAGAUUUAUAAAUUAGUUCAAGUAAUCAUCUUAUUGUAAAAUUAAUAUACUAAUCACAUUAAAUAUGAAUUGUAAUAUGAGUAUUAAUCUCAUAUAAUUAAAAAAGAACAUGGUAGUGGACCUACUUGUUAUGUUACUUCUUUUUAUAUGUUUUGUAGGGGUUGUAAAUUACAUCAGUUGUAACUUAGCAAAAUCCUUAGGUUAUAUUUGAGAGUUUUGGAUUAAGUGUGGGAGUAGAUUAACUUUAGGAUUAUAUAUUUUAUUCCAUUCUUGGCAACUUUGCUUUAAUUAGAUUAGGAAGACUAAAUUUAAAUUUUGUCCUUAAAUCAUUGAAUUAACAAUCCCAAUUUAUAAAUGGAUUUAAAUGAGACUAGAAAAAGAGAGAAAAA
rnacentral:lncRNA from 1 species